GAUGAAGAACGUAGCGAAAUGCGAUAAGUAGUGUGAAUUGCAGAAUUCAGUGAAUCAUCGAAUCUUUGAACGCACAUUGCGCCCCUUGGUACUCCAUGGGGCAUGCCUGUUCGAGCGUCAUUUACACCCUCAAGCUCAGCUUGGUGUUGGGCGUCUGUCCCGCUUCGUGCGCGGACUCGCCUCAAAUGCAUUGGCAGCGGUCUUGCCAGCUUCUCGCGCAGCACAUUGCGCUUCUAGAGGCUUUGGCGGAUCGGCGUCCAUCAAGUACACCCACAGUUUGACCUCGGAUCAGGUAGGGAUACCCGCUGAACUUAAGCAUAUCAAAAGCGGAGGA
rnacentral:misc_RNA from 1 species